GCUGGGCGUGGUGGCUCACGCCUGUAAUCCCAGCCCUUUGGGAGGCUGAGGCAGGUGGAUCACCUGAGGUCGGGAGUUCGAGACCAGCCUGACCAACAUGGAGAAACCCUGUCUCUA
rnacentral:SRP_RNA from 2 species